rnacentral:rRNA from 1 species
AGGAUGAACGCUGGCGGCGUGCCUAACACAUGCAAGUCGAACGUCCUGUCUCGCAAGAGGCAGGGAGUGGCGGACGGGUGAGUACCACGUGGGUUAUCUACCGUGAGGUGAGGAAUACCGGCGAGAAAUCGCCGACAAGACCGCAUAGCCUCGGUGCAAGCCGAGGAAAGCUUUCUCGAGAGAGGGAGCGCCACACGAGGAGCCUGCGCCCGAUUAGCUAGCUGGUGGAGUAACGGUUCACCAGGGCGACGAUCGGUAGCUGGUCUGAGAGGACGAUCAGCCACACUGGGAUUGAGAACGGCCCAGACUCCUACGGGGGGCAGCAGUGAGGAAUUUUCGCAAUGGGGGCAACCCUGAACGAGCAACGCCGCGUGCAGGAAGAAGGUUUUCGGAUCGUAAACUGCUUUUCUCGGGGAAGAGAACGGACGGUACCCGAGGAAUCAGCCCGGCUAACUACGUGCCAGCAGCCGCGGUAA